rnacentral:rRNA from 1 species
AUACGAAGGGGGCUAGCGUUGUUCGGAAUUACUGGGCGUAAAGUUUUCGCAUGUAGGCGGACAUUUAAGUCAGGGGUGAAAUCCCGGGGCUCAACCUCGGAACUGCCUUUGAUACUGGGUGUCUAGAGUGUGGAAGAGGUAAGUGGAAUUCCGAGUGUAGAGGUGAAAUUCGUAGAUAUUCGGAGGAACACCAGUGGCGAAGGCGGCUUACUGGUCCAUUACUGACGCUGAGGUGCGAAAGCGUGGGGAGC